rnacentral:tRNA from 1 species
GUCCAGGGAUGGGAAACGAACCCACAGUGUUCCGCUUACCGGGCAGAUUCCAUGUCCUCUAGGCUACCCUGAA